rnacentral:tRNA from 1 species
GCAGUGGUCGUUCAGUGGUAGAAUUCUAGCCUUCCACGCUGGAGACCAGGGUUCCACUCCUGGCCAGUGCA